rnacentral:rRNA from 1 species
UACGUAGGGGGCUAGCGUUGUCCGGAAUCAUUGGGCGUAAAGCGCGUGUAGGCGGCCAGGUAAGUCCGUUCUGAAAGCCCGGGGCUCAACCCCGGGAGGCGGAUGGAUACUGCUUGGCUCGAGUCCGGAAGAGGUGAGUGGAAUUCCCGGUGUAGCGGUGAAAUGCGCAGAUAUCAGGAGGAACACCAGUGGCGAAGGCGGCUCGCUGGGACGGUACUGACGCUGAGGCGCGAAAGCGUGGGGAGCAAACAGG